AUGGCAAAAAAGUUCUUGACUAUACCAGCAACUAGUGUCUCAUCGGAGUCAACAUUCUCUACGAGUGGCAGAAUUCUCGAUGACUAUCGUAGCUCUCUCAGCCCAAACAUGGUUGAGGCACUUGUGUGUGCUUCUAGCUACAUCAAAGGAUCAAAAGCACACCAGCUUAAGACUACAAUUACAGUGGGAGAAGGCAAUGAUGACAAUGUCGAGUUCAUUCGAUUUCUUGAGAAGAUGAAAUGGAUGAACUGA
rnacentral:rRNA from 1 species